GGAUGUGAGGGCAAUCUGGCUGCGACUUCAGUCUUUCCAUUGAUUUGGCUGAUAUGGCUGGCUAGAUGUGUGUCCCCUUCCUCCCUCACUGCUCCAUGUGUGUCCCUCCUAAAGCUGAACCCUCUGUUGAAGAGGACGACCACCCCCAAUAGAGGGUGUCCGUUUCCUUGGCCAAGGGUGUACAAGUAGUUGGGCUCCCCUGCUAGAACCUCCAAGCAAGCUCUCAAGAAAUGUGUCCUUUGGGCCAGGGUUCGUGUUCCCUUGACAUCAUGGCAUGGUCUGAUGUUGUGGAUCAGGGCUGUGC
ensembl:misc_RNA 7SK 7SK RNA